rnacentral:rRNA from 1 species
GAUGAACGCUAGCUACAGGCUUAACACAUGCAAGUCGAGGGGUAACGAGAGGAAAGCUUGCUUUCCUUGUCGACGACCGGCGCACGGGUGAGUAACGCGUAUCCAACCUGCCCCCAACUAGGGAAUAACCUUGCGAAAGUAAGACUAAUACCCUAUAAUUUCCUCAGAUGUCAUCUGACGAGGAAUAAAGAUUUAUCGGUUGUGGAUGGGGAUGCGUCUGAUUAGCUUGUUGGCGGGGGAACGGCCCACCAAGGCAACGAUCAGUAGGGGUUCUGAGAGGAAGGUCCCCCACAUUGGAACUGAGACACGGUCCAAACUCCUACGGGAGGCAGCAGUGAGGAAUAUUGGUCAAUGGGCGGAAGCCUGAACCAGCCAAGUAGCGUGCAGGAUGACGGCCCUAUGGGUUGUAAACUGCUUUUAUACAGGAGUAAAGUUAGCCACGUGUGGUUAUUUGUAGGUACUGUAUGAAUAAGGACCGGCUAAUUCCGUGCCAGCCGCCGCUGUAC